rnacentral:tRNA from 1 species
GCGGGCGUAGUAUAGUGGCAGUAUAUGACCUUCCCAAGGUUAGGGUGUGGGUUCGAUUCCCAUCGCCCGCU